AGAAACUUAGGUUAAGUAUAAACCAAGAGCCUUCAAAGCCCUAAAUAAGAAAGCACACUCUUAGUUUCUG
rnacentral:tRNA from 1 species